UGGAGAGUUUGAUCCUGGCUCAGGACGAACGCUGGCGGCGUGCUUAACACAUGCAAGUCGAACGGAAAGGCCCUUCGGGGUACUCGAGUGGCGAACGGGUGAGUAACACGUGGGUGAUCUGCCCUGCACUUUGGGAUAAGCCUGGGAAACUGGGUCUAAUACCGAAUAGGACCACGCGCUUCAUGGUGUGUGGUGGAAAGCUUUUGCGGUGUGGGAUGGGCCCGCGGCCUAUCAGCUUGUUGGUGGGGUAAUGGCCUACCAAGGCGACGACGGGUAGCCGGCCUGAGAGGGUGACCGGCCACACUGGGACUGAGAUACGGCCCAGACUCCUACGGGAGGCAGCAGUGGGGAAUAUUGCACAAUGGGCGCAAGCCUGAUGCAGCGACGCCGCGUGAGGGAUGACGGCCUUCGGGUUGUAAACCUCUUUCACCAGGGACGAAGCGCAAGUGACGGUACCUAUAGAAGAAGCACCGGCCAACUACGUGCCAGCAGCCGCGGUA
rnacentral:rRNA from 1 species